rnacentral:rRNA from 1 species
UGGGGAAUAUUGCACAAUGGGCGCAAGCCUGAUGCAGCCAUGCCGCGUGUAUGAAGAAGGCCUUCGGGUUGUAAAGUACUUUCAGUCGGGAGGAAGGUGGUAAGGUUAAUAACCUUGGCAAUUGACGUUACCGACAGAAGAAGCACCGGCCAACUCCGUGCCAGCAGCCGCGGUAAUACGGAGGGUGCAAGCGUUAAUCGGAAUUACUGGGCGUAAAGCGCACGCAGGCGGUUGAUUGAGUCAGAUGUGAAAUCCCCGGGCUUAACCCGGGAAUUGCAUCUGAUACUGUCAGCUAGAGUCUUGUAGAGGGGGGUAGAAUUCCAUGUGUAGCGGUGAAAUGCGUAGAGAUGUGGAGGAAUACCGGUGGCGAAGGCGGCCCCCUGGACAAAGACUGACGCUCAGGUGCGAAAGCGUGGGGAGCAAACAGG